rnacentral:rRNA from 1 species
CCUACGGGAGUCAGCAGUGAGGAAUAUUGGUCAAUGGACGAGAGUCUGAACCAGCCAAGUAGCGUGAAGGAUGACUGCCCUAUGGGUUGUAAACUUCUUUUAUAUGGGAAUAAAAUGUUCCACGUGUGGGUUUUUGUAUGUACCAUAUGAAUAAGGAUCGGCUAACUCCGUGCCAGCAGCCGCGGUAAUACGGAGGAUCCGAGCGUUAUCCGGAUUUCUUGGGUUUAAAGGGAGCGUAGGUGGAUUGUUAAGUCAGUUGUGAAAGUUUGCGGCUCAACCGUAAAAUUGCAGUUGAAACUGGCAGUCGUGAGUACAGUAGAGGUAGGCGGAAUUCGUGGUGUAGCGGUGAAAUGCUUAGAUAUCACGAAGAACCCCGAGUGCGAAGGCAGCUUACUGGACUGCAACUGACACUGAGGCUCGAAAGUGUGGGUAUCAAACAGGAUUAGAUACCCCAGUAGUC